AUUUUAACAUCACUCAGAACGUAAUUGCUUCCUUAGAAUACCAAAAGCAACUAUAUGCAGACAUCAGUGCCACAAUACUUCGACUAAACAAGAUCUUGGCCUGUCUUACCUGGUAAACACAUUUUUCAGCACAUUGUACAGUGCAGUAACCAAGUCCUACCUUCUACUGCAGUGUGUGAGCUACAUCCUUGAGACCAGCAUCACACAAAGCACACAAAUGGAGGAGCACAACUAUCUUGCAAAGAAAUGCAGCCGCAAAAAAAAAAAAAAAUUUGGAUCUCAAUUUCACACUAGCUGUUCAAAACUUACGUCACACAAUACCCCCACUGUUUCUCUCCACUAGCAGGCACCCUACAUGUCAAAUACAUAACGGCCUAAAUCAAACUUUAGAUUAAGGAAAAGAAAUUGAAGACAAAGGAUGUCUGACCAUUUGAUUUAUUGAAUCAUUUGAGAGAACAAGGACAAAACAAAUGAGCAGGAGUCACUUUACAGUCGCCCCAUACACAGCCUAUAUUAACAUUAGGAGGCAAUCUUUUUCAAAGCCACAUGGAAGACAUAACCCACCUAAUUCUACUGUCCUCGGUCCUCAAUUUCGUGGGAAAGAUUUCCUAUCAGAUUCUGAAAAAUCCACAAAUUUAAGUGCGAAUGGGUCUUUUUCAUAAUGCAUAUAACUGGGUGGUUUAUAGUAUUGGGGUGGCUCUUUGGGAGGCUGGUUGGCAGAAGGUUUGCAUUCAGCUGCUGCAGUUGUAGUACAGGGUUGAGGAGUGGUGGUUAUAGGUGGUGCGGUAGGGGUUUUCUGAGGUUGCACUGGGUAUUGUGGAUAAAAUUGCUGCAAAUAAUCUGGGAAAUUUGGGUAAUGGCUAUGCUGAGGGAAUAGACUUCCAGGGUACACUGGGGGUUGCGGUUUCUGGUUUAUUGCUGGCGAAUCUGGUGGGAGAGGAGUGGGGAUGGCUGGAGCUGGUUUCACAGUAGUAUUUGGUUUGCCAUGAUAGUCACUGUAGUAAUAUGGCCACAUAUGGGGUUGCCUUGGAAACUGAGGUUUCUGGAUUGGCACUUGGCCAUCUGAUGGAGAUUGCCCUGCUGGCUUAGCUGUGGGAUAUGGCCACAUCAUAGGGGGGUGCUUCGGAAAUUGAGGUUUCUGGGUUGGCACUUGGCCAUCUGAUGGAGAUAGCCCUGCUGGCUUAGCUGUGGGAUAUGGCCACAUCAUAUGGGGGUACUUAGGAAACUGAGGUUUCUGGAUUGGCACUUGGGCAUCUGAUGGAGAUUGACCUGCUGGCUUAGCUGUGGGAUAACCCUUGCCAGGAUAACGGGAGUAGGGAUAUGGCCACAUCAUAUGGGGGUACUUCGGAAACUGAGGUUUCUGGAUUGGCACUUGGCCAUCUGAUGGAGAUUGCCCUGCUGGCUUAGCGGUGGGAUAUGGCCACAUCAUAUGGGGGUGCUUUGGAAAUUGAGGCUUCUGGGUUGGCACUUGGCCAUCUGCUGGAGAUUGCCCUGCUGGCUUAUCUGUGGGAUAACCCUUGCCAGGAUAAUGGGAAUAUGGAUAUGGCCACAUCAUCUGGGGGUGCUUUGGAAACUGAGGUUUCUGGGUUGGCACUUGGGCAUCUGAUGGAGAUUGCCCUGCUGGCUCAGCUGUGGGAUAACCCUUGCCAGAAUAUUGGUAACGAGGGUAGUUGUAAGGCCAAAACCCUUGCUGAAACUCUUCAGGGUAGCCGUAAAAUGGCGGUUUGAGAGCUGCAGAUAGUUCUGGCAUUGUACUUAUUUGUAGAUUAAAUUCAUCAGGAUAAAGGGGAGGCAGCAGAAUCUGCUGAUAUGAAGGAUCAUGAGGUCCUAGAAAAGUGUCGUUUGCAGUUGUAGAGGUCAUAGGACAAGAAAUGACUGCACGGUUUCCCUGCCAUUGCAUCUGCAUCACAUAACUCCCUCCCUGAAAGACAUGAACAUUCAGGUUGGUCUUCCUAACUCUGUGUACAUACUAAAUGGAACAGAGAAAGUAAUACCUGUUGUGCAACGCCACAUCCAUCAUAGGGGGUAGCAUAGAUAAGACCACCAUAAGUGGGUAUGGUAGAUCCACAGUUAGGCGGCAACUCACUGAGGGGAACAGCUGCCCCAUUACCUGUGACAAAAAACAUCCCACAUU
ensembl:lncRNA